AGAGUUUGAUCAUGGCUCAGAAUGAACGCUGGCGGCGUGCCUAACACAUGCAAGUCGGAUGUGCCGCAAGGUGCAUGGCAGACGGGUGAGUAACGCGUGGGGAACCUACCUCUUUGUGGGGAAUAACGCUCCGAAAGGAGUGGUAAUACCGCAUGAGACCACGAGCUGGGACGCUCGUGGUGAAACCUGGGGACCGCAAGGCCUGGGGCAAGGAGAGGGUCCUGCGUCUGAUUAGCUAGUUGGUGGGGUAACGGCCUACCAAGGCGACGAUCAGUAGCCGGCCUGAGAGGGUGAUCGGCCACACUGGAACUGAGACACGGUCCAGACUCCUACGGGAGGCAGCAGUGGGGAAUUUUGCGCAAUGGGCGAAAGCCUGACGCAGCAACGCCGCGUGGGUGAUGAAGGUCUUCGGAUCGUAAAACCCUGUCGUCAGGGACGAAGGUUGCGGGUUGAAUAGGCUCGUAGCUUGACGGUACCUGGAGAGGAAGCCCCGGCUAACUCUGUGCCAGCAGCCGCGGUAAUACAGAGGGGGCAAGCGUUAUUCGUAAUUAUUGGGCGUAAAGGGCGCGUAGGCGGUUUUUUUAAGUGAGAUGUGCAAUCCCCGAGCUUAACUUGGGAACUGCAUCUCAGACUGGAAGGCUAGAGUGCUGGAGAGGGUGGUAGAAUUCCACGUGUAGCGGUGAAAUGCGUAGAGAUGUGGAGGAAUACCAGUGGCGAAGGCGGCCACCUGGACAGUAACUGACGCUGAGGCGCGAAAGUGUGGGUAGCAAACAGGAUUAGAUACCCUGGUAGUCCACGCUGUAAACGAUGAACACUUGG
rnacentral:rRNA from 1 species